CUCAUGCCGUGACCCCUGAACCUCUCUCUCUACUCUUCUGACAUUGUCCACCUCUUCCUUUCUUUUCCAAAACUCAUCAGUGCUCUUGCUUAUCUCUGCAGAGGCUUUGAAUCACCCACAAGACCAAGACAGAAGGCUAACAGAGAAAAGGAGCAGGGAGAGGGAACCAACUUCCUUGAGCUUAAAGCUGUGUUGGCCUGUAGUACCGUGAUGGCAACUCUGACUUUGUGGAGCUUCCCCUUUCCUCUCACAAGAAAGAAGCCUGAAUCACUGAGUGGCUGUUUUGAGGAUUGCUACCAAGAAGAUCUGCCCAACC
rnacentral:lncRNA from 1 species